rnacentral:rRNA from 1 species
GUCGAGGGGUAACAGGGGAGCUUGCUCUUGCUGACGACCGGCGCACGGGUGCGUAACGCGUAUACAAUCUGCCUUACACUAAGGGAUAGCCCAGAGAAAUUUGGAUUAAUACCUUAUAGUUUAUUUUUAUGGCAUCAUUUAAAUAAUAAAGUUUACGGUGUAAGAUGAGUAUGCGUCCCAUUAGUUUGUUGGUAAGGUAACGGCUUACCAAGACUACGAUGGGUAGGGGCCCUGAGAGGGGGAUCCCCCACACUGGUACUGAGACACGGACCAGACUCCUACGGGAGGCAGCAGUGAGGAAUAUUGGACAAUGGAGGAGACUCUGAUCCAGCCAUGCCGCGUGCAGGAAGACGGUCCUAUGGAUUGUAAACUGCUUUUAUACAGGAAGAAUAAGGACUACGUGUAGUCUGGUGACGGUACUGUAAGAAUAAGGACCGGCUAACUCCGUGCCAGCAGCCGCGGUAAUACGGAGGGUCCGAGCGUUAUCCGGAAUUAUUGGGUUUAAAGGGUCCGUAGGCGGGCUGUUAAGUCAGGGGUGAAAGUUUGCAGCUCAACUGUAGAAUUGCCUUUGAUACUGAUGGUCUUGAAUUAUUGUGAAGUGGUUAGAAUAUGUAGUGUAGCGGUGAAAUGCAUAGAUAUUACAUAGAAUACCGAUUGCGAAGGCAGAUCACUAACAAUUGAUUGACGCUGAUGGACGAAAGCGUGGGUAGCGAACAGGAUUAGAUACCCUGGUAGUCCACGCCGUAAACGAUGGAUACUAGCUGUUUGGAUUUCGAUCUGAGCGGCCAAGCGAAAGUGAUAAGUAUCCCACCUGGGGAGUACGUUCGCAAGAAUGAAACUCAA